rnacentral:misc_RNA from 1 species
UUACUUUUGGAAGUCCUAAAUUUCAUAAGCAACAACUCUGAUAAAGUGGUUGAGCAUACUCAGUGCUCCUCGAAAACUUCAAAAAAGCUAGACCAACAAGCUAGUUUCUUUUUCUCAAAGGAUUUGAUAAGUAGUGGGGGAGUGUAUGAAAGGUUUUUGAAAAAUUGUAGAAGGUUUCUAUAUAGUUUACAUUAUUUGGAAUGCAUAAUGAAGUCAAGAAAUAGUUAGGGAUAGAGUGCAUUUCCCAAUUAAGUUGCAGUGUUAUCAAAAGCACUAGGCGCCCUUAAG